CCUAACGAGAAGGGUGUCGGGCGCGCUUGUUCCCGGCUGCCGCGGCGGUCGCGCGCUCCCGGACGAGCAGACCCCCAGGAGGGGGACCUCUGGGAGUAUGAACAAAUGCAGGUACAGACAUCGUGGCUUGUGGUUAAGCCCCAUGCCUCUGCCCCGAAGCUGUGGGAUACAGCUCACCUCUCAACGUUUUCAGGACACGUGUUCCCAUGACUACUGACUGGUACAGAGAAGAAAGUCUCUAUCAAAAAGUAUCUACAAAGAAAAAUAUCUGGAGGACUAUAUAUCAAACUGUUAACAAAAGGGCAUCUUCACAUGGGAGUGUUUAUCUCCUGUUCUCAGGAAGAAAAGGUG